rnacentral:lncRNA from 1 species
UUGAACAUAGAAUCAUAGGACAAGAAGGAUGAGAGUGCAAUCAAUUAACAGAACCAAACUCUGAUGGAUUAAUACCUAGGUGCAAUAGAGAGUUGGUCUAGGAAUUUAGUUGAACAAUAUCUAUCUGAGCGUUAACGCUUGUUUAAAAGAGGUAUCGAUCGACACUCCAUAAGUGUACUGAUCGACACUUUGUUCCGUAUUUACAUGCGAGAGUAUGAAUACAGAUUUAAAGAUGUAGACUCACAGCAGGAGCUGGAUAUCUUACAAUUGAAUUCA